rnacentral:misc_RNA from 1 species
AUUCUCCCUCCCCAUACGGUGGCCGAAAGGCCGGAGUAUGGCGGACGGGGUUGGAUGGGUGCCGCUGCCUGGGAAACCAGGCUCGCCCGAAAUGCAUAAGCGCCAGGACCCUCGCUACUGCCCUCUAGGGAAGGGCGGCUGAGCGACCGCUGAGCAUGGCAUGAUACGUCAUUUGCUGUGUGUGGGCGGCCGGUUGGAGAGGUGUCUGCUUUAUACAGCCCUUUUUA